CUAACGAAUUCACAUAUAACAUUUAAAUCAUGCAGAUCUGUAACUAAGAAAAAUGAUUGGAACAGUCUCACCAAAAUUCUAUGUAUAAUAGUAUUUAAAAAUCAAGUUCAUUUUGAUUAAACCCUUGCAUUCAAGACCCUCAGUGAUCAGUGUUCAAGAAUUGCACAGAUCAAAGAAACGCAUCAAUAUGGCAGGAAAAAUUAGAUCAGAUUUCAAAGAUGCCAUACCCAUGCCUUUCGAAGCUGUGAUACAUUGUUAUGAUUUCAUGUACUAAAAUAGGUAGUAUACAAAUCACUAAACACAAACUCAUUCAAAACGGUAAUAUCAAUAUAAGAAAUGGUCACCCAAUUUGAUAAUGCCUAAUUUAGGGGCUCAAAGGUGAAGAGCUCGUCACUACGUUCAAAGAACUGCCCAAGAGAAAGUUUGAGAACAAUGUGACCCGAGACACUAUAAUCGAUCUCAAGAAAAACAACCUCUAAUCGACUCAAGACCAUAAUCAAGUGUAGCCAAAAUUCUAUAUAGUUUAAUCAACUAUAAAAACGCUGAAAACCUUCUGCAAAUGACAACUACACAGUCACAACACAAAUCUGACUAUGCACUACAUCAAAAGACUUGAAAUCAGAAACUAGAUCCGAUUUACAGUAAAAAUCAUCGACCUUCAAGAGGAGAGGCUAUGCAAGAGUUUAGAGAGAGACAAGUGAGAGGUUGACAGAAUGAAUGAAUGAAAAU
rnacentral:lncRNA from 1 species